UGGCGGCGACGCCUAACACAUGCAAGUCGAACGAGCGAGAGAGAGCUUGCUUCUCGAGCAAGUGGCGAACGGGUGAGUAACGCGUGAGGAACCUGCCUCAAAGAGGGGGACAACAGUUGGAAACGACUGCUAAUACCGCAUAAGCCCACGGUGCCGCAUGGCACAGAGGGAAAAGGAGCAAUCCGCUUUGAGAUGGCCUCGCGUCCGAUUAGCUAGUUGGUGAGGUAAUGGCCCACCAAGGCAACGAUCGGUAGCCGGACUGAGAGGUUGAACGGCCACAUUGGGACUGAGACACGGCCCAGACUCCUACGGGAGGCAGCAGUGGGGAAUAUUGCACAAUGGGGGAAACCCUGAUGCAGCGACGCCGCGUGGAGGAAGAAGGUCUUCGGAUUGUAAACUCCUGUUGUUGGGGAAGAUAAUGACGGUACCCAACAAGGAAGUGACGGCUAACUACGUG
rnacentral:rRNA from 1 species